GGGAGCAAUGGAAGAAAAGAUGCAUAUUCAAUUCAAACAAUUCAAAUUUGGAAGAGAACCAUUAUAUUACAUUUUCUAAAAAUCCAAAUUCAUUAUAAGUUCUGUUGUUCAUCACAUUACAUCAAGAAUCCACAGAGGUCUAUUACAAAAAUUCAUCUAACAUUACAAAAGCCAUUCAAAAUCACCAAUUUCCUCUCCAUUUCCAUACUCAAAACAGCCUUGCAAAACAUGUCCAUAGUGCAAUAUCCAAACAGCUUACAAACAAGGCCACGAACCAGUUCCAAUGCAGGCAGAAAACCAGCCCAACACAGAUCAGAAACAGACCCCGGUAUUGAAACCACAAAAAUGUAA